rnacentral:lncRNA from 1 species
GCGGGGAUGGCGGCGCAGGGCGUAGGGCCUGGGCCGGGGUCGGCGGCGCCCCCGGGGCUGGAGGCGGCCCGGCAGAAGCUGGCGCUGCGGCGGAAGAAGGUGCUGAGCACCGAGGAGAUGGAGCUGUACGAGCUGGCUCAGGCGGCGGGCGGCGGUAUCGACCCCGACGUGUUCAAAUGCUGAAGUCCAUGUGUGCCGGGCAGAGGCUAGCGAGCGAGCCCCAGGACCCUGCGGCCGUGUCUCUGCCCACGUCGAGCGUGCCCGAGACCCGAGGGAGAAAUAAAGGCAGCGCUGCCCUCGGGGGAGCAUUGGCCCUGGCGGAACGCAGCAGCCGCGAGGGAUCCAGCCAGAGGAUGCCACGGCAGCCCAGCGCUACCAGGCUGCCCAAGGGGGGCGGGCCUGGGAAGAGCCCUAUGCAGGGCAGCACCUAGGAUGGCGCAGAGACUUGUCACAUCUUUGUCCCCAGCAAAGGCUACGUGUUACCUCCUUCAGUUGAUAAUAAACCUUUCUGAGAUGCAGAGGGUCCAGGUCAGAUGCUCUCUACCGUUUUCUUUUUUUUUUUUUCAUAUUAAGGCACACUUAGAAUGAAGUUUCUGUGCUGGUCCUGGUUGUGCCACAGUGAACUAACCAGGUCCCUUCACCAUGGGUCAACUUCCUGAACCUGAUUUGGGUUCUGAGAAAAGGUGUCUGGAUUGCCAGGUCUUUUAUAAAUAGACAUCAACAAGCUUCACUUGGAGUGAAAUGUGGGAGGUUUUUUUGUUUUGUUUUGUUUUGUUUUUUUCUGAAACGAAGUCUUGCUCUGUCACCCAAGCUGGAGUGCA